CUAAUUCUCUUUAUCCAGUUCCUUGAGCUUUGUGAGGGAUAAAAGGUGAUGAACGUAUAGGCCCUAGGGAGGCUGAGGCAGGAGGAUCUGGAUGAGUUCCAGGCCAACCUGAACUACAAAGUGAGACCUUGUCUCAGAGGCCCCACCCAAAAAAGCUAGGCCUGUUUUCUCCUUUGUUCUUUCCUUGCCCUGAUCUGUAAAUGCAAAAUAGCGAGCAUUUAUGUAAACUAUGCAAAGUAGCAAGUAUUUACUGAGGCCCUGCCCUUUAUAUAAAGAUAUGCUCAUCUAGGUGAGUGUGCUUCAGAAGUUCAAAAUCUGAUUGGAAGGCUGAUCAGUGACCCAAGAAGCCUAACUCAGGCCACACACUGCUAUAGAGAGUCCUAAACCAGAGGGAUAGCCAGGGUGGUUUGGGAUUAAACCCUCAUCUCUUCUAGAGGGGGUAAAAGAAUGAGAACAGCCCCUGUGCUGUAAGAAGAGAGCUGCUGCUGCCCUCUGACCUGAGAUGGCAUCUGUCACCACUUCCUUUACAGCCCCGCAGGUGACGGGACCAGCAAGAUGACAGCCCCUGGAUGUUGGCCAUCUGAUUGCUGACCAUCGUGCCGCUGUCGGGGCCCCACUGAGCUAAAAUGUGAGCUGUUUCUGCCAUGGUGCUGGUGGAUUUACACAGAUCUCUCACCGCUCCUUGCAGGUGGAUUUACACAGAUCUCUCACUGCUCCUUGCAGGUUCCAGGAACACGCAGCGGGUGCUCCGUAGUAAAUUGGAAGAUGCAUUCAACCCAUUCAACCCCACCUGCUUUAAACAGUCUCGGAACACCUUUGCCUGAAGUUGGACAAAACCAUCUAACACAAAGCCUACUUUGCAAUACUAUGUUGACUCUCUCAAUCUAUUGCGUCAUGUUGGCCACAUGGUAUCCUACGGGCUUUCCUCAUGAUUGUUUGGCCGACUGAGAGCUGUGGCUGAUUGUUUGCCCAGAAUUGCAAGGGGAUCGAAGCACAUUGUCACCAGCCCAAAAAACAGUCAUUUGUAGUGUACUCCGCAACCCCAAACAGGCAGGAAGAACAAUAAACGAGUUA